AACUUUAUGCGACAGAGUUGGGCUGAAAUAUUAUUUACUUAAAUAGUGUUGAAAAACAGUUGGAAGUUCCCAAGAAAGAAAGCCCGAGAUCUCUCUCUGAUCUCUGUUGCUGAAUUAAGUUGUCAUUGGCUUCACUGUUUUUCCCUCUCCUCACGCCCCCCACCCCACCUCACCCCUCGCACCAAUAUCCUGGAUUUCCUUGUACUGCCACCACCGCCACCACUAUCUUCCCUGCCGUUGUCCAUUUUCCGAUGACACUUAAAUAAGAAGUUAGUUACCCUCCAUUUUUUUUCUACUCUGUUUCAGUGGAUACUCUCUUUGUUUUUUAAUCUUACCCCUUUUCUUCUCUUCUGUUUUCUCUCCUCUUUUCUAUACCCUUAGCUUACUCCAAAACAACUCUCUACACAAUAUUUUAGCUUCAUACUUGAUAUUGUCUUUACAUCCAGUUGGGGUUUUCCCGUUUUCUCUACCAGCAGGAUCUAUGUGAAAAUCUUGAAUUUUAAUCUACAAUUUGUUGGUUGUUUGAAUUAGCUAACCCACCUUUGUUCCUAAAAUAAAGUCUUAAAUAAACAUCUGAAGAAGUGAGAGUUUCCAGGUGAUAUAAGUAUUUUCUUUUUGGGGGUAUUUCAAGAAGAAAAGAAGAAGAUAAAAAUGGAUCAUAGUCGUGUUCAGCACCAACCAAUCAGUUCUGGUUUAACUAGGUAUCGAUCUGCGCCAAGUUCUUAUUUCUCUAGCCUAUUAAGUAGUACUACUCCUGUUAGUGGUGGAGGUUGUGGUUAUGCAAGAGAUGGUUUUUCUCACUUGCAAAAUUCUCGUGGUUCAGCUACUGAUAUAGAGCAAGUUUUCGCUAGUUUUGUAGCUAGUAUUGGUAACUCCAACUCCAACUCCAACUCCAACUCGGGGAAUUUUCCUACAAAUCAACAAAUUCAGGAAAACCCCACGACUAAUAUGAAUGUGAGAUCGGAUUUUAUUGUUCCAAAACAAGAGGCUAUAAAGACUCACCAGCCCUUAGUGCGACAUAAGAGUAGUGAUUAUUCUCUUGUUUCACAGAUGAAUUAUCAAAACCAGAGCCAACAGUUUAUUUCACCUGUGAAAAAGGAACCAGAGACUCUGCAACAAACUACUGAUCAUGCUUCAUCUUCACACAUGAAUUACCAAACCCAACCUCAACAAGUUGAAAAGUCAAAGGAAGCCACAGAUAAUUCAUUUGUAUUCGCGAAUUCGGCUCGUUUGACACCUGGUAGUGGUGGUGGUAAUUCGAAUCUUACCCGUUAUAAUAGUUCGCCUGCUGGAUUCCUUGAUCAAAUCAAUAUCGAAAAUGAAUAUGGUGCUAUGCGAGGCAUAGGGAGUUAUGGAACUGGUACUAAUGCUGCUACAGAAACUUCUUUGUUGACUCAAGUGGGAUUCUCAUCCAGGAAACCUCCUGCUUCUCCCAGGCUAGUGGCUCCAAUCUCUGAAUUUAGAGAUAAAGUCUUGGAAGAAAACAGCAUGGCCAAUGAAAAUAAAAACAAUGAGAGUUGCAUUACAGAUUUCCCCAUGCCUUCUUGGGAAGAUUCACACAUUUUGUCUGACGAUUUCCUCAAAGCUGAAGACAUUGAGAUUGAGCCAUUCUCUAAUGAAGCUGCAUCCCAUAAUCAGAAUAGUGAAGGGCUGGCUCGUCCGCCAAUUCCUUUAGCUCAUCAUUUGAGUUUGCCCACAAGUGCCAUGGAGAAGCUCUUGCAAGAUUCAGUACACUUGAAUGUCAGAGCAAAGCGGGGUUGUGCCACUCACCCUCGUAGUAUUGCAGAAAGGGUGAGACGAACACGAAUAAGCGACAGAAUGAGGAGGCUGCAAGAGCUUGUUCCCAACAUGGACAAGCAAACAAACACAGCAGAUAUGUUGGAUUUUGCAGUAGAUUACAUUAAAGAUCUGGAGAAACAAGUCAAGAUAUUAUCAGAAAGGCGUGCCAAAUGUACGUGCAUAAAUAAGUAAAAAGCUACAAAUCAAAAGGUGAAGGUAGGAAAGGGAUCGGAAUUGAUAAUGGAAUCAGCUUACCAGAAAUGGAUUCCGUUUUGACACUUGAAGAAGACAAUGGGGUUGGCAUUUUGCUGCAUUGCACUGCCGCAUGAACAAUGUAUUCGCUAGGCUGGAUGAGCAACCUUCUAUUUGGCUUCUGUACCAAUAGUAGAGUAGCUUGCUACUUUCAAUCAGAAAAGGAAGAUUGAGCAAGGCAAAGUAGAAAGGACUUGUCCCCUAGGGUUUGCCCCGUUUUUGAGUUAUGCAUCAGAUUAUUUCAUGGGAUUAGAGCCACUCAUAACUGAGUUUCUUAGUUGUAGCGUGAUUGAUUCAUUACAAGUUUACGCAUAAACUAUGCUUACAGAAAUUUAGACUGAGAGUGUUCAGCUUCCUCACUCAAUCUUGAAGAAAAAUGGAGUUCAAUGGAGAGAACAUGCAAGGACCAGAUUUGAAUCUAAGUCUUAACAAUAGAGUUGAUGAUCCACAGGUUCCUAAUCCUUAUCUUGGAGGAUCUGAAAAUUAGAAUUCAUUCUCUAUUUUUAAUGGUGGACAAGGUAUAACAGAUGUGAGUGGAAUAAGUAUGAUUUCUUUUCGACUUACUGGUACUAAGAAUUACUCUCUGUGGAGCUGCUAAAUGAGAAUAACUCUGUAAGAAAAGAAUAAAAUGGGGAUUGUAGAUGGUUUUUGUAACAAAGAAAGGUCCAGGAAAGAACUUUUGGUAUGAAUGGAAAGGGUAGAUGCCACUGUGCUUUCUUGGCAUAUGAACUGUGUCUCUCAUUCUAAUAUCUUGUAACUUAAAAUACGUGUGUGUCAUAAAUGUUGACUAAUUAGUGUGAAAUU